AGGGUUCGAUUAUGGCUCAUAUUGAACGCUGGCGGCAGGCCUAACACAUGCAAGUCGAGCGGUAACAGGAAGUAGCUUGCUACUUCGCUGACGAGCGGCGGACGGGUGAGUAAUGCCUGGGAAUAUGCCUUGAUGUGGGGGAUAACUAUUGGAAACGAUAGCUAAUACCGCAUAAUGCCUACGGGCCAAAGAGGGGGAUCUUCGGACCUCUCGCGUCAAGAUUAGCCCAGGUGGGAUUAGCUAGUUGGUGGGGUAAAGGCUCACCAAGGCGACGAUCCCUAGCUGGUCUGAGAGGAUGAUCAGCCACACUGGAACUGAGACACGGUCCAGACUCCUACGGGAGGCAGCAGUGGGGAAUAUUGCACAAUGGGGGAAACCCUGAUGCAGCCAUGCCGCGUGUAUGAAGAAGGCCUUCGGGUUGUAAAGUACUUUCAGCAGUGAGGAAGGUGGUGAUGUUAAUAUCAUCAUCAUUUGACGUUAGCUGCAGAAGAAGCACCGGCUAACUCCGUGC
rnacentral:rRNA from 1 species